GGAUACGGCCAUACUGCGCAGAAAGCACCGCUUCCCAUCCGAACAGCGAAGUUAAGCUGCGCCAGGCGGUGUUAGUACUGGGGUGGGCGACCACCCGGGAAUCCACCGUGCCGUAUCCUUAU
rnacentral:rRNA from 1 species